ACUACUAUCACAAUCACAAACAUGUUAGAAAACAUGAAUUUGGACGAUAUGUUUUGGUGAUGGUUGUGUUGUCUGGUCUUUACAAAGUGUUAGAAAUUAAGGUAGGGAUUACUGACCAUGAAAAUAAAACUUAUAAUCCUUAGGAAACAUGUACUGUCCCAUAUCUGAAAAGUGAGAGCGAUUUUAAGUAAUAUAUAAGAGAUAUGAGUCACUCUACUUAUAUAUAGCCAAUUGGUUUUGGGUUGAAAACUUAUGUAACUUUAAUAUGGUAUCAAAGCACGAUCCAAAUGCUUCUGUAAUCAAGUUCGCGAUGGGCCCACACCUUGGAUCCAUGAGAGAGGUGUCAUAAAAUCUCCGAGAUUAAUUGUUGUAUAGCUAUUAUCUCGAGAGAGGUUGUUAGAGAUUAAAGUAAGGAUUACUGGGCCAUGAGAUUAAGGUCCAUAAUCCUUAGGUAGCAUGUAAUGUUCCACAUUUGAAAGAUGAGAAAUACCUUGAAUAUAAUAUAAGAGACAUGAUCCACUCCACAUAUAACCAAUCAAUUUUGGGUUGGAAACUCAUGUAACUUUCAAACAAAAUAACUUGAACAACGUCUCUCUAAUUCAGGGUCAAAGUUUAGUUGAAAAUCCACUGAG
rnacentral:sRNA from 1 species